AACGAACGCUGGCGGCGUGCCUAACACAUGCAAGUCGUGGGAGAAGGGAGCUUCGGCUCCCGAGUAAACCGGCGCACGGGUGAGUAACACGUAGGUAACGUACCUUCGAGUCUGGGAUAACCAACCGAAAGGUUGGGCUAAUACCGGAUACGAUCCGAGGGGCUGCGGCUCUUCGGGGGAAAGGCGGCCUCUGCUUGCAAGCUGUCACUCGAAGAUCGGCCUGCGUACCAUUAGCUUGUUGGCGAGGUAACGGCUCACCAAGGCUGAGAUGGUUAGCUGGCCUGAGAGGAUGGCCAGCCACACUGGGACUGAGACACGGCCCAGACUCCUACGGGAGGCAGCAGUGGGGAAUAUUGCGCAAUGGGGAACCUGACGCAGCGACGCGCG
rnacentral:rRNA from 1 species